GGCGGACGGGUGAGUAAUGUAUAGUUAAUCUGCCCUUUAGAGGGGGAUAACAGUUGGAAACGACUGCUAAUACCCCAUACUCCUUUUACCUUAAUGGUAAUUGGGAAACGUUUUUUCGCUAAAGGAUGAGACUAUAUGGUAUCAGGUAGUUGGUGGGGUAAGAGCCUACCAAGCCAAUGACGCCUAGCUGGUCUGAGAGGAUGAUCAGCCACACUGGAACUGAGACACGGUCCAGACUCCUACGGGAGGCAGCAGUGGGGAAUAUUGCACAAUGGAGGAAACUCUGAUGCAGCAACGCCGCGUGGAGGAUGACGCAUUUCGGUGUGUAAACUCCUUUUAUAUGGGAAGAUAAUGACGGUACCAUAUGAAUAAGCACGCGGCUAACU
rnacentral:rRNA from 1 species